CCGUACAGCUCUAUCCCCGAUCCAUCCCAGCUCCCGUGCCUUAGCUAACUGACUCCUCUCGGCGAUACCCCCUCUCUCCCGAGCCAACUCCCUGUCCGCCUCAUCGCCGAUGGCCUCCGCGUCAUCGCCGAUGGUCUCCCUCCUCCUCCGGCCUCUCGUGGCCGACGGUCUCCCUUCUCCUCCGGCCUCUCCUGGCCGACGGUCUCCCUUCUCCUCCGGCCUCUCCGCACCUCUCCUUCCCUUCCCUCUUCCAUUCCUCUCAUUCUUCAAGAACGUGUCAAGCGCUCCGGCGGUCAGGUUGCCCACGAAGGAGCUCCAAUCAUCCUUCUGGCGGACCGAUCUCCCACCCGCCCAUUCGAUCUCAGUCGGCUAGACGGCGCCUCCGAUCUCACCUCCGCGCUCCGACAGUAUGCAUCUACCUUCCCCCUUUCUUUUUUUGGCUCCGUCUCUCCCACGAGAGCCCUUCCACCUCCUCUCCUCGGUCUUCUCCCAAACCCUUCAGCUCUAUCCCUAACCCUAACCGAGAUCGAUCAUAGUAUGAUCUCUGGCUGUAUUGUGAAUUAUUUGUGUUUCUGCGUGCUUAAGAAUUUAGGGACUUAGAUUUAGUGGUGAUUAUUUAGAUUAAAUUCCUUAAUCUAAAUAAUGGUUAUCUUGUACCUAUCUUGGAUCUGGUUGAAUGUUUGUUUCUUGCUCGGAUUCUGCUCAUGGAUCAUUUAUGUUGCUGUAUUUCUUUUGUCACCUGUUUCUGGGGUCGCAUGUUUAUCAUCUUCAUUUGUUUCAGUGGAUUUGCUUUAUAUUUUACUGUGCCGGACUUUGCCAUUUUUUCAGCUGGGUUCUAAAAAUCUGUGGCUGGUUUAUGUUUAUUUAGUUGGCGACUUCCUCUUCUGAUUCUUCUUCACAAAUCGUCUUCACGCUUUACCAAACACUUCUGGCAUGUUGUGUUGUUUCAACAUCUCUUCCUUGCAGGCACACCGUCACAAGUUGGUUUCCUGUACUUUAUCGUAUCAUCUUAUCCCCACAGCCUGCUUCAGAGUUUUGGUUUCUUCCACGAUUAUUCCUUUGUUGCAAUGUUCUGUGCUACGUUUGGGAUACUUUACUGCUGUUGGUUGCCGUCUUCAACACUUGUGCAGGAGGAUGUUUAUCAUCUUCUUUUCCAUUUACGCUAAAGUAUCAUAUUUUGAUGAUUUGAUUUCAUUAUUCACACCUCAAGUAGUUGAAUCCUAUGAGAAAUUGUCUAGUUGCAAGGCAAUUUUUAACUUGUAGUUAUAUUGUUGCUUUAUUUUAUUAGUCAAUGUUAAUGUUGAAAACCCUGCAGAAAAUGACCUGGUUAUACUGUGAGCCGAAAAAACAGGGUGACAGCAUUUUUUGCAUUGGUUAACUUGAAUGUUUUGUCAUGAUGCUGGCUCAAUGUAAUCUUCCUAAGCCUUUUUGUUGCUAAAGAAUAUCACUAGCUAUAGCAAAAGGCAUGAGUGGUCAAAACAUUUAUAUCAACUCUCUAGCUAGAUUUAUUUCCCUGGCUGUAGAAACAGAUGCAAAUAAAGGCUGUCUUUUUGACAGAGCCUUCCAUAUUCUUUAAAUCUUUUGUGGAAUAUAAUUCGCCUUUUUGCUCGAGCUUAUAGAAUGAGGCAACUCCUCUCACCUACCUUUAGGUUAAAAUAUCUAGGACUGAUGGAUGCUAGCGCUAGUGGAGCAAUAGGAUCACCCAUCACCAUUACAUAUUUGGGAAUUUGUUUAUCCUAGCAUGGAUAAUUUGGUGUUUAACAAGUAUAAAGGUGAUGUAUAGUUUCAUAGUUCAUGCAUUACAACCACACUGAUCAUUGUCUAUGCACGAAUUUACAUGAUAGCAACACACUUUUUUAGAACACAGAUGAGCAGCUUGGAUCCUGAUCCUAUGCUACUUUUGAAAGGGGAAGGUAGAGUAAGUCUCUGAACUCUAACCUCCUGGUUUCACUGUAAAAGGUUCUUUGUCUGUUGGGUCAGCAGGUUAGCCAAAUCCGGCCUUUGAUUUCCCACUCCAUUUUCUUCCCUAAGGCUCCUCCACACACCUUCCACCACAUGCUUUCUCCAUUCUCAUCUCCUGCAAAGAUUACUCCUUGUUUUGUAAAGGGCCUGUAGGCGCUAGAGUAGCGGUCCCUAAACCAUGUCCUUGGUUGAAGUAAUGCCAACUUUGAAGGCUUGGAAGCGAAAAACUCUCUGCCAUGCACACCAUCAUGAAGAAACCAAUUCAAAGUUGCACCACCGCUAUGUGCUGAUUGUUCAAAUUUCCAUGGUUUCAUGCUCAUAGUGACUGUUUCUGUGGCUGAGAAUUUGAGACCCAAAUAAGAAUUUGGGGGAUCAAAUGAGCCUUCAAGGGCCUUCUUAAGGCCAACUUCAUGCUGAGGAUUUUCAGAAGAUUUGCUUACUCAAAUGAUUAAAGUGCACUGAAUACUUUUUAAUGGGAUAGAGAUAUCCAGUAAUGGGAUACUGCGAUAUAAUUCGUGAAUCGAAGAUUUUGGAAAGAAGUUCUAGAAUUUUGUGGAUUUGUCGGAAAGCGUAUGAGAUGGUGUGGUCCGCCCCUUGUCGCUGGUAUUCUGAUUUGGUGUCCCAUCGUGACACUAUGGAAUUCUUGGUUCUAGAGUGCUUCAAAUGGUGUUUUGAUUUUGUUACUGUUUCUUGUAAACUGUUGAUUGUCAUUUGGUUCAGUUUCAUUGCAAUCUGUACAGGAGCGAAAACAUCAUUGCUAUUGAUUCUUUUAUCUUCUCAUAUCCACAGUAACUCUGUUCAAUAAAAAAUUUACUGUGUAUUUACUGUGGAUAGCUGCCCAUGUAAACCUUUUAAGUUAAAUGUCCAUUGGCUUGACAAGUAAACGGCUGUGUUUCCAACAUCAACCCUUUAACGCAUAUAACUGCUUGUAAUGAAAAUUUGGAUCUAUAUUGGACAUGGAACUGGGAUACACGGUCUUAGUUUGAAGGCUGAUAUUAUCUUAAUACGAGGUUGUCAUAGAGCCUUUUUCAGAACAUGCAGCUUGGCGGGAAGACGCAACAUGAUUAUCAUCAUCAGGCAACGUGGUUGGCCAGAUAGUUUGCCUCCCGGUUCGCUUGUCCAAGGUUGUGCUUGGAGCUGCAUCAUGUGGCAUCGGUACUUUAGAAAGUGCAUCACUUUCCCAGAGGGGUCCCUCGCUCAUCACAAAAGAAUCACCUCACCUCCAAAGAUCAAAGGGUCCCGGACCACCUUGGGCUGUGCAGACUGAAAUUUUGAAAAAGGUGGGUCAGGAAACGCAACUCAGUCCCGUGAAGAUCGAGAUGUAUGCAUGUUGUUGUCGAGUGAUGUGGUUGCACAAGGUUUAAAAAUUUUUAAAAAGUGUCUGCAUAGAAGUCUUGGAUAAUUGUGCGAACUGCAAUCGGAAUCCUCACAGAAUGAGGCCCAUCAUACCAAGUCAAGCUUCCGAAGCCGUAGAACCCUUGCGCCUUGUGAGUUGGCAUGAAAGUUACAUUAAAUGUCUGAACCUUGCUUCUAGCAUUGAAAACAAGAACAGAAGGUUGCACCACCAUCUUAAUGCCGGGCGGGAUUUCAAGUGCUGCCUUGUAAACUACUGCGUCAACCUUGCCCACAUGUGUCACAGUUCUCUGAACCAUCACAGUUUCCUGAAGAUUAGGGAUGGCAAUGGAGGGAAGGUUCAAAUGAUAUAAAGGUCUCUGUUUGGGGUCGCAGCCACCUUGUAGGCCAAAAGUACAUUUAAAGAACUUGAGGUACUCUUUAGGAUUGAUGUCGUACACAAGGCCAGGAUCCAAGGCUUUGUUUGGGUUGAUUUGACCCCCACCAUAGUCGAAAGGAUCAGCAAGCUUACGUGGAACCCCCUCUGCCAUUAUUGGCUGUCCAUAUCCAUCGCUCACGGAUGCUGCAUGUAACAUAUAUAAUAUCACCCAUGCACACGUAAGUGCAAUGCUAUGUUAAAAGAUGAGCUAGAGAAGUAAUUUAAUUGAAGUCCAGGUACCUGUAGUAAUAA